GGACGCAGCCUGAUCCAGCCAUGCCGCGUGCGUGAUGAAGGCCUUCGGGUUGUAAACUGCUUUUGUUGGGAACGAAACUGCCUUUUCUAAUAAAUAGGGCUAAUGACGGUACCGGAAGAAUAAGCACCGGCUAACUACGUGCCAGCAGCCGCGGUAAUACGUAGGGUGCAAGCGUUAAUCGGAAUUACUGGGCGUAAAGCGUGCGCAGGCGGUUGUGUAAGACAGUUGUGAAAUCCCCGGGCUCAACCUGGGAACUGCAUCUGUGACUGCAUCGCUGGAGUUUGGCAGAGGGA
rnacentral:rRNA from 1 species